rnacentral:rRNA from 1 species
CGGGAAUUUUGGGCAAUGGGCGAAAGCCUGACCCAGCAACGCCGCGUGAGGGAUGAAGUAUUUCGGUAUGUAAACCUCGAAAGAAUGGGAAGAAUAAAUGACGGUACCAUUUAUAAGCUCCGGCUAACUACGUGCCAGCAGCCGCGGUAAUACGUAGGGAGCAAGCGUUGUUCGGAUUUACUGGGCGUAAAGGGCGCGUAGGCGGCGCGGUAAGUCACUUGUGAAAUCUCUGAGCUUAACUCAGAACGGCCAAGUGAUACUGCUGUGCUAGAGUGCGGAAGAGGCAACCGGAAUUCUUGGUGUAGCGGUGAAAUGCGUAGAUAUCAAGAGGAACACCUGAGGCGAAGGCGGGUUGCUAGGCCGACACUGACGCUGAUGCGCGAAAGCCAGGGGAGCAAACG